UUGUCUUUUAAAUAAAGACCAGUAUGAAUGGCAAGACGAAAGUUCAACUGUCUCCCUAAAUUAAUCAAUGAAAUUGAUCUUCCCGUGCAGAAGCGGGAAUAUAAAUAUAAGACGAGAAGACCCUAUGGAGCUUUAAAUAUAUGGUCAAUUGUAUAUUACAUAAACCAAAAGGUAAAAUAUUAAAUAAAACAUAGUGAUCAAAAUUUUAGGUUGGGGCGACCACGGAGAAAAACAAAACCUCCGAGAUGAAAAAAAUCUUAACUUAUGAACUACAGUUCUAAAAAAUAAAAUAUUUAACAUAAUUGAUCCAAUAUAUUGAUCAACGAACCAAGUUACCCUAGGGAUAACAGCGCAAUCCUUUCCAAGAGUUCCUAUCGACGAAUGGGUUUACGACCUCGAUGUUGGAUCAGGACACCCCGAUGGUGUAGCCGCUAUUAAAGGUUCGUUUGUUCAACGAUUAAAGU
rnacentral:rRNA from 1 species